CGCUAGGAAGCUAAAACGGACAUAGCGUCAGCCUUUUAAGCUGAAGAAUGGUGCCCGCCAAACACCUCUAGCGA
rnacentral:tRNA from 1 species